GACGAACCGUGCGAACGUUGUUCGGAUUCACUGGGCUUAAAGGGCGCGUAGGCGGCGUGACCAGUCGGGGGUGAAAGCCCACAGCUUAACUGUGGAAGUGCCUCCGAUACUGUUACGCUCGAGGGAGGUAGGGGCAGGAGGGAACUUCCGGUGGAGCGGUGAAAUGCGUUGAUAUCGGAAGGAACGCCGGUGGCGAAAGCGCUCUGCUGGACCUCUUCUGACGCUGAGGCGCGAAAGCUAGGGUAGCGAACGGG
rnacentral:rRNA from 1 species